rnacentral:rRNA from 1 species
CCAGUAACGGCGAGUGAAGCGGCAACAGCUCAAAUUUGAAAUCUGGCCCCCAGGGCCCGAGUUGUAAUUUGCAGAGGAUGCUUUUGGCGCGGUGCCUUCCGAGUUCCCUGGAACGGGACGCCAUAGAGGGUGAGAGCCCCGUCUGGUCGGACACCAAGCCAGUGUAAAGCUCCUUCGACGAGUCGAGUAGUUUGGGAAUGCUGCUCUAAAUGGGAGGUAUAUGUCUUCUAAAGCUAAAUACCGGCCAGAGACCGAUAGCGCACAAGUAGAGUGAUCGAAAGAUGAAAAGCACUUUGAAAAGAGGGUUAAACAGUACGUGAAAUUGUUGAAAGGGAAGCGUUUAUGACCAGACUUGGGCCCGGUGAAUCAUCCAGCGUUCUCGCUGGUGCACUUUGCCGGGCUCAGGCCAGCAUCAGUUCGUCGCGGGGGAUAAAAGCUUCGGGAACGUGGCUCCCUCGGGAGUGUUAUAGCCCGUUGCAUAAUACCCUGCGGUGGACUGAGGUUCGCGCUCCGCAAGGAUGCUGGCGUAAUGGUCAUCAGCGACCCGUCUUGAAACACGGACCAAGGAGUCGUCUUCGUAUGCGAGUGUUCGGGUGUAAAACCCCUACGCGUAAUGAAAGUGAACGCAGGUGAGAGCUUCGGCGCAUCAUC